AGCUCCUAGACCCUGACAUUUAUGCCCUGUCUAUGACAUCACCUGUUUGUGUGGCUGCGUGUUCAGUGAUGCCAUUUCCAGUGGAGCCCUUAGGGCCUGACACUGCCUAGUUUGGAGACAAGACCAUGGAGCAGCCUUGCCAAGGUGGCAGUGCCAAGGGAGGCUUGGUGGGCCAGGGGACAAGUAGGCAGACAGUGAGCUGAGCUCGCCAGCAUGUGUCUGUGAAAACAGGGUCCUGUUAUGAACCCCUUGUUCUAUUAGCUCCAACUCUUGAGCUCCCAAGUGCCUCAUUUAGCCCCACACGAAGCUCACUGGAGGGGAGGAGCCAUGGCAGGCUCUCAGGAGAGGAGUGUGGGCUGAAGAUGCGCGUUGAUGAGAACCAGAGAGCCCCGUCAGGCCUCUAAGAUCAGAUGCAAGCUCUCAGCUACUGUUCCAACGCCAUGCCUGCCAACAGCCAUGCUCCCUGCCAUGACGCUCCUGAGCUCACACCCUCUGAAACUGCAACAUGGGCACCUGGCAGAGGUACUUGGGGAAGAGGAAGACUAUGAGUUCAGCCUGGCCACCUGCAAGAGUGCUGGGCUGAGCCUGUGGUGA
rnacentral:lncRNA from 1 species